UGGGGAAUAUUGCACAAUGGGCGAAAGCCUGAUGCAGCGACGCCGCGUGAGGGAUGACGGCCUUCGGGUUGUAAACCUCUUUCGACAGGGACGAAGCGUAAGUGACGGUACCUGUAGAAGAAGCACCGGCCAACUACGUGCCAGCAGCUGCGGUAAUACGUAGGGUGCGAGCGUUGUCCGGAAUUACUGGGCGUAAAGAGCUUGUAGGCGGUUUGUCGCGUCGUCUGUGAAAACUCACAGCUCAACUGUGAGCUUGCAGGCGAUACGGGCAGACUUGAGUACUGCAGGGGAGACUGGAAUUCCUGGUGUAGCGGUGAAAUGCGCAGAUAUCAGGAGGAACACCGGUGGCGAAGGCGGGUCUCUGGGCAGUAACUGACGCUGAGAAGCGAAAGCGUGGGUAGCGAACAGGAUUAGAUACCCUGGUAGUCCACGCCGUAACGGUGGGUACUAGGUGUGGGUUUCCUUCCACGGGAUCCGUGCCGUAGCUAACGCAUUAAGUACCCCGCCUGGGGAGUACGGCCGCAAGGCUA
rnacentral:rRNA from 1 species